GGCUGUCACUUAUGGAUGGACCCGCGUCGCAUUAGCUAGUUGGUGAGGUAACGGCUCACCAAGGCAACGAUGCGUAGCCGACCUGAGAGGGUGAUCGGCCACACUGGGACUGAGACACGGCCCAGACUCCUACGGGAGGCAGCAGUAGGGAAUCUUCCGCAAUGGACGAAAGUCUGACGGAGCAACGCCGCGUGAGUGAUGAAGGCUUUCGGGUCGUAAAAAAAAGGUGUUAGGGAAGAACAAGUGCUAGUUGAAUAAGCUGGCACCUGACGUAC
rnacentral:rRNA from 1 species